rnacentral:rRNA from 1 species
ACUAAGCGUACACGGUGGAUGCCCUGGCAGUCAGAGGCGAUGAAGGACGUGCUAAUCUGCGAAAAGCGCCGGCGAGGUGAUAUGAACCUUUGACCCGGCGAUGUCCGAAUGGGGAAACCCAGUGCAAUCCGUUGCACUAUCGUUAACUGAAUACAUAGGUUAACGAGGCGAACCGGGGGAACUGAAACAUCUAAGUACCCCGAGGAAAAGAAAUCAACCGAGAUUCCCCCAGUAGCGGCGAGCGAACGGGGAGCAGCCCGGAGUCUGAAUCAGCUUGUGUGUUAGUGGAACGGUCUGGAAAGUCCGACGGUACAGGGUGAUAGUCCCGUACACGAAAGCACACAUGCUGUGAACUCGAAGAGUAGGGCGGGACACGUGGUAUCCUGUCUGAAUAUGGGGGGACCAUCCUCCAAGGCUAAAUACUCCUGACUGACCGAUAGUGAACCAGUACCGUGAGGGAAAGGCGAAAAGAACCCCGGCGAGGGGAGUGAAAAAGAACCUGAAACCGUGUACGUACAAGCAGUGGGAGCCUCUUUAUGGGGUGACUGCGUACCUUUUGUAUAAUGGGUCAGCGACUUAUAUUCUGUAGCAAGGUUAACCGUAUAGGGGAGCCGAAGGGAAACCGAGUCUUAACUGGGCGUUAAGUUGCAGGGUAUAGACCCGAAACCCGGUGAUCUAGCCAUGGGCAGGUUGAAGGUUGGGUAACACUAACUGGAGGACCGAACCGACUAAUGUUGAAAAAUUAGCGGAUGACCUGUGGCUGGGGGUGAAAGGCCAAUCAAACCGGGAGAUAGCUGGUUCUCCCCGAAAGCUAUUUAGGUAGCGCCUCGUGAACUCAUCUUCGGGGGUAGAGCACUGUUUCGGCUAGGGGGCCAUCCCGGCUUACCAACCCGAUGCAAACUACGAAUACCGAAGAAUGUUAUCACGGGAGACACACGGCGGGUGCUAACGUCCGUCGUGAAGAGGGAAACAACCCAGACCGCCAGCUAAGGUCCCAAAGUCAUGGUUAAGUGGGAAACGAUGUGGGAAGGCACAGACAGCCAGGAUGUUGGCUUAGAAGCAGCCAUCAUUUAAAGAAAGCGUAAUAGCUCACUGGUCGAGUCGGCCUGCGCGGAAGAUGUAACGGGGCUAAACCAUGCACCGAAGCUGCGGCAGCGACGCUUAGGCGUUGUUGGGUAGGGGAGCGUUCUGUAAGCCGUUGAAGGUGUCCUGUGAGGGGUGCUGGAGGUAUCAGAAGUGCGAAUGCUGACAUAAGUAACGAUAAAGCGGGUGAAAAGCCCGCUCGCCGGAAGACCAAGGGUUCCUGUCCAACGUUAAUCGGGGCAGGGUGAGUCGACCCCUAAGGCGAGGCCGAAAGGCGUAGUCGAUGGGAAACAGGUUAAUAUUCCUGUACUUGGUGUUACUGCGAAGGGGGGACGGAGAAGGCUAUGUCAGCCGGGCGACGGUUGUCCCGGUUUAAGCAUGUAGGCGGAGGUUCCAGGUAAAUCCGGUACCUUGUUAACGCUGAGGUGUGAUGACGAGGCACUACGGUGCUGAAGUGAUAAAUGCCCUGCUUCCAGGAAAAGCCUCUAAGCAUCAGGUAACACGAAAUCGUACCCCAAACCGACACAGGUGGUCAGGUAGAGAAUACCAAGGCGCUUGAGAGAACUCGGGUGAAGGAACUAGGCAAAAUGGUGCCGUAACUUCGGGAGAAGGCACGCUGAUAUGUAGGUGAAGCCCCUGCGGGCGGAGCUGAAAUCAGUCGAAGAUACCAGCUGGCUGCAACUGUUUAUUAAAAACACAGCACUGUGCAAACACGAAAGUGGACGUAUACGGUGUGACGCCUGCCCGGUGCCGGAAGGUUAAUUGAUGGGGUUAGCGGCAACGCGAAGCUCUUGAUCGAAGCCCCGGUAAACGGCGGCCGUAACUAUAACGGUCCUAAGGUAGCGAAAUUCCUUGUCGGGUAAGUUCCGACCUGCACGAAUGGCGUAAUGAUGGCCAGGCUGUCUCCACCCGAGACUCAGUGAAAUUGAACUCGCUGUGAAGAUGCAGUGUACCCGCGGCAAGACGGAAAGACCCCGUGAACCUUUACUAUAGCUUGACACUGAACACUGGUCCUUGAUGUGUAGGAUAGGUGGGAGGCUUUGAAGCGUGGACGCCAGUCUGCGUGGAGCCAACCUUGAAAUACCACCCUUUAAUGGCUGGUGUUCUAACGUAGACCCGUAAUCCGGGUUGCGGACAGUGUCUGGUGGGUAGUUUGACUGGGGCGGUCUCCUCCCAAAGAGUAACGGAGGAGCACGAAGGUUGGCUAAUCCUGGUCGGACAUCAGGAGGUUAGUGCAAUGGCAUAAGCCAGCUUGACUGCGAGCGUGACGGCGCGAGCAGGUGCGAAAGCAGGUCAUAGUGAUCCGGUGGUUCUGAAUGGAAGGGCCAUCGCUCAACGGAUAAAAGGUACUCCGGGGAUAACAGGCUGAUACCGCCCAAGAGUUCAUAUCGACGGCGGUGUUUGGCACCUCGAUGUCGGCUCAUCACAUCCUGGGGCUGAAGUAGGUCCCAAGGGUAUGGCUGUUCGCCAUUUAAAGUGGUACGCGAGCUGGGUUUAGAACGUCGUGAGACAGUUCGGUCCCUAUCUGCCGUGGGCGCUGGAGAAUUGAGGGGGGCUGCUCCUAGUACGAGAGGACCGGAGUGGACGCAUCACUGGUGUUCGGGUUGUCAUGCCAAUGGCACUGCCCGGUAGCUAAAUGCGGAAGAGAUAAGUGCUGAAAGCAUCUAAGCACGAAACUUGCCCCGAGAUGAGUUCUCCCUGAGACCUUGAGUCUCCUGAAGGAACGUUGAAGACGACGACGUUGAUAGGUCGGGUGUGUAAGCGCAGCGAUGCGUUGAGCUAACCGAUACUAAUGAACCGUGAGGCUUAACC